rnacentral:rRNA from 1 species
GAAUGGAAAUGUGCGUCCAAGCAGUGAGUGUGAGAAGUAGGCAAAUCCGCUUCUCGCGAAGCAUGAGCUGUGAUGGGGAAGGAAAUUAAGUACGGAAGUUCCUGAUUGCACGCUGUCAAGAAAAGCCUCUAGGAAGAGUAGUACUGCCCGUACCGCAAACCGACACAGGUAGAUGAGGAGAGAAUCCUAAGGUGAGCGAGAGAACUCUCGUUAAGGAACUCGGCAAAAUGACCCC